rnacentral:rRNA from 1 species
AGUGAACGCUGGCGGCAGGCCUAACACAUGCAAGUCGAACGGCAGCACAGUAAGAGCUCGCUCUUACGGGUGGCGAGUGGCGGAUGGGUGAGGAAUACAUCGGAAUCUACUUUUUCGUGGGGGACAACGUAGGGAAACUUACGCUAAUACCGCAUACGACCUACGGGUGAAAGCAGGGGAUCUUCGGACCUUGCGCGAUUGAAUGAGCCGAUGUCGGAUUAGCUAGUUGGCGGGGUAAAGGCCCACCAAGGCGACGAUCCGUAGCUGGUCUGAGAGGAUGAUCAGCCACACUGGAACUGAGACACGGUCCAGACUCCUACGGGAGGCAGCAGUGGGGAAUAUUGGACAAUGGGCGCAAGCCUGAUCCAGCCAUGCCGCGUGGGUGAAGAAGGCCUUCGGGUUGUAAAGCCCUUUUGUUGGGGAAGAAAAGCAGCGGGUUAAUACCCCGGUGUUAUGACGGUACCCAAAGAAUAAGCACCGGCUAACUUCGUG